rnacentral:tRNA from 1 species
GCAGUUGUAGCUCAGUUGGUGAGCGCCUGUCUGUGGAACAGGAGGUCGGUGGUUCGAGCCCAUCCAACUGUACCA